rnacentral:rRNA from 1 species
UACGUAGGGGGCUAGCGUUAUCCGGAUUUACUGGGCGUAAAGGGUGCGUAGGUGGUUUCUUAAGUCAGAGGUGAAAGGCUACGGCUCAACCGUAGUAAGCCUUUGAAACUGGGAAACUUGAGUGCAGGAGAGGAGAGUGGAAUUCCUAGUGUAGCGGUGAAAUGCGUAGAUAUUAGGAGGAACACCAGUUGCGAAGGCGGCUCUCUGGACUGUAACUGACACUGAGGCACGAAAGCGUGGGGAGCAAACAGG